UACGGGGGGGCGAAGCGUUGUUCGGAAUUACUGGGCGUAAAGCGUGCGCAGGCGGCUUUGCAAGACAGAUGUGAAAUCCCCGGGCUUAACCUGGGAACUGCAUUUGUGACUGCAUGGCUGGAGUGCGGCAGAGGGGGAUGGAAUUCCGGCGUGGUAGCAGUGAAAUGCGUAGAUAUGCGGAGGAACACCGAGUGGAGCGG
rnacentral:rRNA from 1 species